CAACUUGAGAGUUUGAUCCUGGCUCAGAACGAACGCUGGCGGCAGGCCUAACACAUGCAAGUCGAGCGCACUUAUGACCUUCGGGUUAUAGGCGAGCGGCGGACGGGUUAGUAACGCGUGGGAACGUACCCUUUACUACGGAAUAGCCUUUGGAAACGAAGAGUAAUACCGUAUACGCCCUUUGGGGGAAAGAUUUAUCGGUAAAGGAUCGGCCCGCGUAAGAUUAGAUAGUUGGUGGGGUAAUGGCCUACCAAGUCUACGAUCUUUAGCUGGUUUGAGAGGAUGAUCAGCAACACUGGGACUGAGACACGGCCCAGACUCCUACGGGAGGCAGCAGUGGGGAAUCUUAGACAAUGG
rnacentral:rRNA from 1 species